ensembl:lncRNA
UUUCGAUGUUCUGCAGUCAUGGUACCACGGAUAUUUUUUGGAAUACUACGAUGAUUCCAAGAAGUCGGGGUAAAAGCCAUAUCAACAUGCAAGGUACCCUUGGUAGUCAUCUGACAUGUUGGUCCCUUGAUGACCAGGUCUGAUGCCAUGUGGAGCAUCUCCUUUGAGCGGCCUUCUGGAAGCAGGAGUGCCAUUGUCCACGAGAGCCUUCAUGGGUCCCUGAAGCAGGGAAAUCAAGCAGAAGUCCACUGAUGGCCCGGGUGAGUGAACUACUUCUGGGCUCUUGUUCCUGAGUAAAGCACUGCAGUAUCUGCAGACAGUUGCUUCUCCAACUGGUCUGUUCAAAAGUCGGUGCGAGAAGAACGCAGUAUUGGCAUCGUUGGUCUCCUUGCUGCCAGUGCUUGGAGUCCUGGUAAACUUGCUGCAACACUAACUAUAUAGGCAACCAAUCUAGUAACUGCUAUAAAUGAUAGGAAAGAUGGCUGAAAAUAUGAUAUAUUUGCACAGGCUUUGGAAGACUGAAUGUAUGUAGUCAAACAAAUAAGCUCAUUUGGGUUGGUUGAAAUGAUUUAACAGUCUUGAUACAGCCGCAAUGGAUACAUUUGGUGUCUUGAGCAUUUUACAUUUGAAUGAGUUGGGAUGUAGUCGCAGCAAACUGAUUUCAAAAGUGAAGGGCCUGCCCUUGCUUUAAUUUGACAUUUCUUCAAUUCUAACCGUUUUAAUCUCAUAUCAUUUGCAAGUGAUAGCUUAAAUGUCACUUCACUAUAGGUUUUGUGCUAAAAGUUAAUAUGGUAAAGAGGAGUUGCUCAAUUAGUUUAUAUUUUGUAUACGUGUUAUUUUUUGUUAAAUGAAAACACUAUAUGCUAUCUGCAGCCAGUCGCAGCUUGGAUUUAUAUGUUCAAAGGUCUACCAGUUGCAAUGUAGCUCUUAAUAUUCUUGAUAAAUAUGUAAUUUAGACUGUUUUUGUUCCUCAGGUCCCUUGAUGACCAGGUCAGACAUGUGGCCCAGUGGAGGCUGCAGUGCUGUUCUCAAGGAGAGACCUUGGUUUGGACUUGGCUGAGUGAGUUUUAUAUCUUUCCAUUCCUCACUAUACUCUAUAUCCUCUGUACUGAGGCCUAUCCCGAUGGACCCUCUACCAUAGGGCCAUAUCGUUGGAAAUGCCUCACAGACUAAGCUGUAGUUUGCUUUACCCAUGUGGUGACUAUAAUUUACCAGGUGGGAUAAAACGACAGAACAAUUCAACUCCUUUUCCUGGAACUACAUAAUCUUUGCUUCAUGCCAGGGGGCGCUUGUGUGUUAAUUCUGCUUUCAACUUGUUUCUAGGGUCCUUGACGCAGGGAAAUCAAGCAGAAGUCCACUGAUGGCCCAGGUGAGUGAACUACUUCUGGGCUCUUGUUCCUGAGUAAAGCACUGCAGUAUCUGCAGACAGUUGCUUCUCCAACUGGUCUGUUCAAAAGUCGGUGCGAGAAGAACGCAGUAUUGGCAUCGUUGGUCUCCUUGCUGCCAGUGCUUGGAGUCCUGGUAAACUUGCUGCAACACUAACUAUGUAGGCAACAAAUCUAAUAGCUUCUAUAAAUGAUACGAACGGCUAAAAAUAUGAUUUUCAGCCCUACAUAGUUUAUGCCUGGCCUAUGAACUUUUGGGAGCAUAUUUAAUUGAUCUUAGAAUUUUUACCUUGAAGUUUAAAUGUUGUGCAAUUUUAAACUGGAAUAAUUCCCACCACUCUCAAAUGUAUGACUAGCACGCUGUAUUUAGCAGUGGGUCUGCCUAGCCUUCGAUGACUUGGGCAUGUGCGUUGAGUGCACGGCAGAGGCAUGCAUGUAGUUGUCCAAUAAAAUAAUCGAUGCAGAGUGAAAUAAUUACAGGUUUAUAGCCAGAUACUUUACUACUGAUACUACUGUGUUGGGCUGUAGUCUUGGCAAUGUGACUGAUCUGCUUCUUCUGGACCAACAGGCACGGCUAUGGGUUCACCCUCGUCUAUGGAAGGAACACGUGCUGGUGGCCGCCCUUCAGGUAUUGAACACUUCUCUUAAUUCAUACUGAAUGAAGCACUGCAUAGUCUAAAAUACAUGAAGACUCAUCUGGUGGGUCUUAGUUUGAACUUUGUAUUGGUCAUUUACCAAGGCAUUUAGGAUCCUUGUUCCCAUCUUGCUGUGGAUAUGACCAUAAAGCAGAUCUAUUCCAGUGGGUUCCGCUAGCAACACUGCUGUGGACACCUGCUGGGAACAUCUUAUUUCAAUGUAAAGUGUCCUCGACUGGCAUUCAGCCGUAUGAGAUGUCUGUCUAAGUGAUUACUGAUGAGCAACUUGUAUUUUGUUUUAAUUAUUAAACAUGAAUGCGCUAUUACAGGUGGUGUCCAGACUGACGUACAACAUGUGGAUCGUGGCUGCACCGUCAUACCAGUUCUAGAUGUAGGUAUGAGAUGGUAUUCUGAUGCCUGAACGCCGGACCAUUUUUCAAAGAGGGCCAGUGACUAUCCCAAGUCUGUUCCUUACGCAAUGGUCCCAAAGCAAUUGCUCUCUGCUGAUGGUUGUACAUUGGCUUUAUAUAGCUUAUUUCUCAUCUUCAGGAGCAACAAUAUUUGCAGUUAAAGUGACUAAAAUCUAUACCCUUCAUGGCUUUGUAUGUGUUCUUAAUGUUCUUAUCUUCACAUGUUGCAGCUUUCGUUGAUGCUUGAUGAGCAGACCAAGAAACGAGAAAUCGACUUCUCUACAAAAUUUCCUGUCAUGUCUGUCAGUUUCAAUAAAAUGAAAU